rnacentral:tRNA from 2 species
GUCUGGUUAGCUCAGUUGGUAAAGCGCUCCACUGGAAAUGCAAAGGUCCCUGGUUCGAUGUCAGGACCAGGCG